GAUGAACGCUGGCGCCGUGCCUAAUACAUGCGAGUCGAGCGAACAGACGAGGAGCUUGCUCCUCUGACGUUAGCGGCGGACGGGUGAGUAACACGUGGAUAACCUACCUAUAAGACUGGGAUAACUUCGGGAAACCGGAGCUAAUACCGGAUAAUAUAUUGAACCGCAUGGUUCAAUAGUGAAAGACGGUUUUGCUGUCACUUAUAGAUGGAUCCGCGCCGCAUUAGCUAGUUGGUAAGGUAACGGCUUACCAAGGCAACGAUGCGUAGCCGACCUGAGAGGGUGAUCGGCCACACUGGAACUGAGACACGGUCCAGACUCCUACGGGAGGCAGCAGUAGGGAAUCUUCCGCAAUGGGCGAAAGCCUGACGGAGCAACGCCGCGUGAGUGAUGAAGGUCUUCGGAUCGUAAAACUCUGUUAUUAGGGAAGAACAAAUGUGUAAGUAACUAUGCACGUCUUGACGGUACCUAAUCAGAAAGCCACGGCUAACUACGUG
rnacentral:rRNA from 1 species